rnacentral:rRNA from 1 species
AUUGAACGCUGGCGGCAGGCCUAACACAUGCAAGUCGAGCGGAUGAAGGGAGCUUGCUCCUGGAUUCAGCGGCGGACGGGUGAGUAAUGCCUAGGAAUCUGCCUGGUAGUGGGGGAUAACGUCCGGAAACGGGCGCUAAUACCGCAUACGUCCUGAGGGAGAAAGUGGGGGAUCUUCGGACCUCACGCUAUCAGAUGAGCCUAGGUCGGAUUAGCUAGUUGGUGGGGUAAAGGCCUACCAAGGCGACGAUCCGUAACUGGUCUGAGAGGAUGAUCAGUCACACUGCAACUGAGACACGGUCCAGACUCCUACGGGAGGCAGCAGUGGGGAAUAUUGGACAAAGGGCGAAAGCCUGAUCCAGCCAUGCCGCGUGUGUGAAGAAGGUCUUCGGAUUGUAAAGCACUUUAAGUUGGGAGGAAGGGCAGUAAGUUAAUACCUUGCUGUUUUGACGUUACCAACAGAAUAAGCACCGGCUAACUUCGUG